rnacentral:rRNA from 1 species
UCCACGCCGUAAACGAUGAAUACUAGGUGUCAGCCCGCAGGGGUUGGUGCCGCAGCUAACGCAAUAAGUAUUCCGCCUGGGGAGUACGCACGCAAGUGUGAAACUCAAAGGAAUUGACGGGGACCCGCACAAGCAGCGGAGCAUGUGGUUUAAUUCGAAGCAACGCGAAGAACCUUACCAGGUCUUGACAUCCCGUUGCAAAGCACUUAAUCGUGCUCCUCCCUUCGGGGACAACGGAGACAGGUGGUGCAUGGUUGUCGUCAGCUCGUGUCGUGAGAUGUUGGGUUAAGUCCCGCA